rnacentral:rRNA from 1 species
CAAGAAUAUUAGUCAAUGCUCGCAAGAGUGAACUAGCUAACUGGAGUCACAUUUGUGUCAUUUGUGAUAAUGCAAGGGAAAAUCAUGAUAUUACCUUGCUACGAUAAGUGUUGUCAAAAGCUGGUGCCAGAAGACUCGGUAAGGCCAGAGACGCGAGCGUAAGUCAUCUUGAAAAGGCGUAAAGGGUAUGUAGGCAUCUUUGAAUCUCUUUUGGGAUAAAAUCAAAGAUAGAAUCAUAUAGAGGUCACAGACCAGAUAACUCUGUUUGUUAGGGAUAAAAUCUUUAGAUACACAGAGGAAUACUAAUUAGCGAAUGCUCUUUUCCAACUUAUGAUUGACGCUGAGAUACGAAGGGGGGGGCCGAAAAUAGGAUUUGAGACCCUGGCAUUCCUCUCUGUAAACGAUGAAUGGUAGUUGCUAGUUUAAGUAUUAGUGGCGAUGCUAACGCGUUAACCAUUCCGCCUUGUGAGUACGGCCGCAAGGUUGAAAACAAAAAAAUUAGUCGCUUUCGGAGCAAACGAAGUGAAGCAUGUUAUUUAAUUCGAU